ACUUUAAUAAUAUAAAUAUUAUAUUUAAUUUCCAAUUAAAAAAUCUGACCUUCAGUUAAAGUA
rnacentral:tRNA from 1 species